GAAAUGCGAUAAGUAAUGUGAAUUGCAGAAUUCAGUGAAUCAUCGAAUCUUUGAACGCACAUUGCGCCCGCCAGCAUUCUGGCGGGCAUGCCUGUUCGAGCGUCAUUUCAACCCUCAGAACCCCUUGCGGGAUCUGGCGUUGGGGAUUGGCAUCCAGCCAGCCCCGAAAUCUAGUGGCGGUCCCUCCGCGACCUCCCCUGUGCAGUAGCGAUACCGCGCAGCGGGACAGCGGUCUGACCACGCCGUAAAACCCCCAACUUCUCAAGGUUGACCUCGAAUCAGGUAGGAAUACCCGCUGAACUUAAGC
rnacentral:misc_RNA from 1 species